UACAAUUUUGGCCUACAAUAGCACUAAUUUAAUAGCACUUUUUCUGAAGUGCUAUUAAAAAUCUCAAUCUGACGCCUAUAAUAGCACUUUUUGUCGGAAGUGCUAUAAUAUAGUGGAAAUAAAUUUUAAGCGGGGCCUUUAAUAGCGCUUUCCUUGCGAGCGCUAUAAAAUAUAUGUCCCUUUGAUAGCACUUUUCAUGAAACGCUAUUAUAGGUCUUUCCGGAAAAGAAAAAAAACACUAAAAUAUUUCGCUGAAAAUCUCAUAAGGUUUCAUUCCACUUUUUCUCGGUCCGCCGUUUCACUCUUCCUCACUCUCCAAUCUCCAUAUCCGUCAUUCUUCAUGGAACUCUCAAUCAUCACUCUCCAUCGUUCCUCACUCUCCAUCAUUAACUCAUCAAUUGAACCCUAAAACCUUCUUCUCUCCAUCAUUCCCCAAAACUUGUUAAACCCUAAAUCCCAAAUUGAACCCAAAAAUUGAAGGAUUGAAGGCUAGAAGGAGUUUUCUGUUUGCAUUUAAACGAGUUUAGUAGAAUCACUGUUUCUGAUCUCAUUCCACGAACCCUAAUCAGGUGAUGUGCUAUUUUCUGGACUGGUUUGGAUUUAUGUUGUGUGCUUUCAGGUUUCGCUCUGAUGUUCUGCCUCUGCUGUUCUGGUUUUAUUUUCCUAGUGUAGGUGAUAUGUUUGCCUCUGUUGUCCAGGUUAUUUUUCUGGUUCAGAUGUUACCGGACGAGUUUUUAAUUGGUAAACUAUUGAAUUGUCUAUUGAUUUUAAAGGUUUUGAUUGGAUUAUGUAGUAAGAAAUAGCUUAAUUAAGAACCUUCCAUGUGACUGUUUCUGCAUGUUGUUUUUCUUUUUGAUGAACUAGUGUUUCUGCAUGUUAUAGACUUAUAGUUUUCUUGUUAAUUGUUAAACAUGUAAUAAAUAGAUUGAUAUAUAGAACCUGAUGCUUGAGUUUGGUUGCAGUUGCAUAGAGCUCGUGUAACAGCCUCUUUGACAGACCUGAAUGGUUGUGUUGUGUCUAUCUCUGUAUUUCUGGUGAGCAGCAUCACUCCCUCUUUCUUACUCAUCAUCUUUAUUUAUGUUGCUUUCACUCUCCAAGACAGAGAAGAAUGAGAUGGGUUUGUUAUACCGACUUAUACGACGAUACACUACUGCAUCACCACCGUCUUUUUAUACCGACUUAUUUUCCCUUUUUUUAUUUUUCUGUUGUUGAUUCCUUGGAUUUUUCUGUUGUUUUAUGAUCUUUAAAUUCCUUGUCAAUUUGGAUUGUAUCAAAUGUAAUAUUUUCUGUGUGAAUAUUUGAUGAUGAUGAAGAAUUUUUUGAAUUAAGUAGGGAAAACUUAAUUAAGUUUAGAAUUAAUUUUCGGAUUGUAUCACAUACCCUUUUUGAAACUUAAUUCUAAACUUAAGAGCUAGUUAUAUCAAAUAAAUGUCCUAAACUAUACAUUAUCAUCAUGUGAGGGAUUGAUUGAAUUUUUCCCCUGUUGAAAUAGAAAUCAUAGGGUCACAAAAUGAAAAUACUAUUUAUGUAUAGGAAUCUUUGGUGGAUUUUUCUUUCAUAAGUCUUGACUUGGCUUAUGGUUAUGUUGGAUUGAAUUGGAAGGAUCAUGUUGUUAUUGAUAAGAGGUAUUUUCGUCCAACUGAAGUUGAUAAUCUGAAAGGUUGGUCCUCGAAUUAUUGUUUGGAAACCUAAUGUUAGUUUUGAAGAGCUUGUAGAAUGAUGGGUGAUAAUGAUGUUGAAAUGGCUAAGAAGGAGAAAGUUCUUGUUGAUGCCUGGUUAUAUUGAUGCUCAACAACAACCUUGAUUUUCUGAUUAUGAUGGUUAUAUUGGACUCUUUUCCUCUUGGCCCAAACUAUCCUCAGUUGCUGCAUGUGUAUCAGAUUGAUUCAUCAUAGUUGAGGGAGUUUAAUUAGAUUUAUUUAUCUCAGUUGAUUGCAGUAUACAUUAUUAUGGUUUUGGAGUUUUUAUUUAUUCUGCAUUUGGUACUAGAGCCAAACUUGUUGGAUCCAAAUCAUACACUAACCUUUACCUAUUUCAAAGAUGUUUCUUUUCAACUAUUUUGAGUUUUGACUUGACUUUGUGAUUUGAAACUUGAAGGCACAAAAAGCAAAGCUAUAGUGAUGCACCAAGAGUGAGGUGCAUUUUGAACUUGAGAGGAGUUGUCAUGGGACUUCUUGGUAUAAUAUGAGAAUGGUGCUGGCUUGCGAGCAAUCCUAAGGCGUUCAAGUGGAUUAUUAAUUGUUUGUUGCGUGCAAUCCUAAGGCGUACAAGUUGAUUAUUAAUUGUUUGCCGCAUAAAUUCUUGUUCUGCAUAGGAACAUUAAGUGUAGGGAUAGGUGAGUGAUUAUGGUUGAGGAGGUAUUGCACCUUUGUAGUAGACAUAAGUUAGUUUUGGUGGGUGAGACUUAUGAAUUGAAUAUCUACAUGUAUAUACAAUUGUAUUGUAUAUUAUUCAUGUUAGUUUUUAAUGAAACUAUUUU